rnacentral:rRNA from 1 species
UACAGAGGGGCAAGCGUUGUUCGGAAUUACUGGGCGUAAAGGGCGCGUAGGCGGCCUGUUAAGUCGAACGUGAAAUCCCCGGGCUCAACCCGGGAACUGCGUCCGAUACUGGCAGGCUUGAAUUCGGGAGAGGGAUGUGGAAUUCCAGGUGUAGCGGUGAAAUGCGUAGAUAUCUGGAGGAACACCGGUGGCGAAGGCGGCAUCCUGGACCGAGAUUGACGCGUGAGG